UUCUAUGCUCUAGUCCUUACCGGGUGGUGUGCUGAGGUGGAGGUCGGGGGUAUGGUGCCCUGCGUGGCCAGAGUCGUGGCCCAGGGGUUAGUGUCUCGGGCAGGAAGUGAGGGGGCAGUGCUGGAGAGUUAGACAAAUAUAAUAGAUGAACAUACAGACACCAUGUGGUAUAUAGACAUGGUAAUAUUAGAUGAUACAUACAGACACCAUGUGGUAAUAUUAGAUGAUACAUACAGACACCAUGUGGUAAUAUUAGAUGAACAUACAGACACAUGUGGUAAUAGACUGGUCAUAUUAGAUGAUACAUACAGACACAUGUGUAAUAAGUGAUACUACAGACACCAUGUGGUAAUAUUAGAUGAACAUACAGACACCAUGUUGUAAUAUUAGAUGAAUAUGAAAAGAUAUGAACACUGAAGCAACAUAAGCACUUCAUAACGUGUUAUUCAAAAUGCAGGGAGACGAGGCCUAGAAAAGGCACGUGAACUGUGUUAUGGUGGUGUGUCGGCUGUCUUGGUUUGUGUUGCAGUGGAGUGUAGUUACCUGCUGAGCCCCCGGGGGCGCUACAGGUGACUGUGGGUGGAGGUUGGUCGGGGCAUGGGGGCCUGGGAGAAGGGUGUCUUCAGGAGCCCACUGAAGGCUGAGGCGAUCUGGGUAAACAACGAGCUGAUGCUGUCCCCUCUCCCUCCACCUCUGGGACUGGAGGAAUGGGACAUGGA
rnacentral:lncRNA from 1 species